rnacentral:rRNA from 1 species
UACGAAGGGGGCUAGCGUUGUUCGGAAUUACUGGGCGUAAAGCGCGCGCAGGCGGCUAUCCAAGUCAGUGGUGAAAGCCCGGAGCUCAACUCCGGAACUGCCAUUGAAACUGUUUAGCUUGAGGACGAGAGAGGUGAGUGGAAUUCCCAGUGUAGAGGUGAAAUUCGUAGAUAUUGGGAAGAACACCGGUGGCGAAGGCGGCGAUCUGGGUCGAUACUGACGCUGAGGUGCGAAAGCGUGGGGAGCAAACAGG